rnacentral:rRNA from 1 species
GGGCCCGCACAAGCGGUGGAGCAUGUGGUUUAAUUCGACGAUACGCGAAAAACCUUACCAGCUCUUGACAUGGGGAUUUUGGACCUUGGAGACAAGGUUCUUCGGUUCGGCCGGGUCCCACACAGGUGCUGCAUGGCUGUCGUCAGCUCGUGUCGUGAGAUGUUGGGUUAAGUCCCGCAACGAGCGCAACCCUUGUCCCUAGUUGCUAACAGGUUAUGCUGAGAACUUUAGGGAGACUGCCGGUGACAAACUGGAGGAAGGAAAGGAUGAUGUCAAGUCAUCAUGGCCCUUAUGGGCUGGGCUACACACGUGCUACAAUGGUGGUUACAAACGGUUGCGAACCCGCGAGGGGAAGCUAAUCCGAGAAAGCCGGUCGUAGUCCGGAUUGGGGUCUGCAACUCGACCCCAUGAAGUCGGAAUC